rnacentral:rRNA from 1 species
AUACAGAGGGUGCGAGCGUUAAUCGGAAUUACUGGGCGUAAAGCGCGCGUAGGCGGCUUGGUCAGUCGGAUGUGAAAGCCCCGGGCUCAACCUGGGAAUGGCAUUCGAUACUGCCAGGCUAGAGUAUGGGAGAGGGAAGUGGAAUUUCCGGUGUAGCGGUGAAAUGCGUAGAUAUCUGAAAGAACACCAGUGGCGAAGGCGACUUCCUGGCCCAAUACUGACGCUGAGGUGCGAAAGCGUGGGGAGCGAACAGGAUUAGAUACCCUAGUAGUCC